UACAGAGGUCUCAAGCGUUGUUCGGAUUUAUUGGGCGUAAAGGGCGCGUAGGCGGCGGGGUAAGUCGGGUGUGAAAUCUCAGGGCUCAACCCUGAAACUGCACUUGAUACUGCUCUGCUUGAGGACUGGAGAGGAGACUGGAAUUCACGGUGUAGCAGUGAAAUGCGUAGAUAUCGUGAGGAACACCGGUGGCGAAGGCGGCAUCCUGGACCAAUACUGACACUGAGGAGCGAAAGCCAGGGGAGCAAACGGG
rnacentral:rRNA from 1 species